UCCUUCGUGCUGUUUGUCGUUUUGUUUUUGUCAAAUCGCGCGCUAUUGUGCUGCCACAUGUAGCCGCAUGCACGAGAGAGCCGCGCAUGCGCGUGUGUAGAUGUCUAUAGAAGUAUCAAGCGGAGCUCGAGUUAAAAGCGUGCAGUGUUCUCUUGUGCUCCUCGUGCUGGUGGGACCUUGUUUCAUGACCCACAUAAAGCAAGGCCGUUAACACUACUCACGAGUUGCGCGCGUAUGGGUGCGAGCCCCAACGAGCUACUCGCCGUUCUAUGGGACCCCACGUGUCCCCUCCACGGUUGCCGGGGGGAGGAGGGGAGGGGCGGGCCGACGACGUGCCCCCCUGAUAUACGCUACCUGCAUAUACCGGCAUGUACCUGUAUGUGCCUUCAUAUUACCAUACAUCACGUGUACGUGUACGUGUAAGAUGAACCAGAGAAGAUGGACUUGUUAGUAUGCGUAAGACAAGUGGACCUGUAUGUCGAAAUGCGUGUGCGUGCACGAGAGAGCUUGAGAGUCUGUAUACAGGUCUGAAUCUGUUCCUAACUACGUAAAUAAUUAACCGUUGAUAGAGAGAGGUGGAGAAAUAUUAUUAUGACCUGAAAUAUUAUUAUGUUUACUGAUGCAAUCAUGUUACACGGAUUAAUAGAGAGUAUUAAGGGGGGGAUGGAAAGCGAAGAAAAAAAAAUUAGUUGUUUUCAAAUAUUUCUAUAUUUCAGCAUCCAUAUUCAAUGAAAGUGAUUAUUUGUUAAAAAUGUGUACAAGCAAUAUUUGGCGUUAAAAAAAAUUUUAUCGAAGAAAUGUUCCAAAGAACAGAAGAGAAAAUCAGUGUCACUGUUUAUAUUUAUCGAAAAGCAAAGCAAUAAAGGAUACGUAUACCGAAAGUUAAGCGAGAGAAAAAAGUUAGGUCCUGGGUCCUGUUCGUGUAGUACUUAUGUAGCAUUUAUAGCGUGCGCGCUGAAUGCACAUCCGUAUACGAGUGUGUGCGUGACUGGACAAGUUAGUAGGUCACACGGAUUCAAGAAUAUAUCGGUGGGCGUGAAUCGUACACACUAAUAUCCAACAUUAUCGUAUACCCAUGGAGAACUGUGACUUCAAACGCGGCUUCACAAGGUACCUUGAUCUUGACUAGAUGCAAGGUCCAUUUCGCUGUCGUCGUACGUUCAAUAAGGCAUUGCUCCUAUUUGCUUUCGCAUUGUUUGCAUUACUGCCGCGUAUUAAACGGAUUUCAUGCGUAGCUAGACUUUAAAUAGGGAAAGUUUUAAAACUUAUUAUAUAUUUACAAAUUUUCCGUUAAAUCUAUUCGUAUAAUGUAUUAAACAAAAUUGUUUACUUUGUAUUAGAAAAAAAUCUGGAAAUUUUAAUAAAAAUAAAA